CCUACGGGCGGCUGCAGUGGGGAAUAUUGCACAAUGGGGGAAACCCUGAUGCAGCGACGCCGCGUGAGUGAAGAAGUAUUUCGGUAUGUAAAGCUCUAUCAGCAGGGAAGAAGAAAGACGGUACCUGACUCAGAAGCACCGGCUAACUACGUGCCAGCAGCCGCGGUAAUACGUAGGGGGCAAGCGUUAUCCGGAUUUACUGGGUGUAAAGGGAGCGUAGACGGCUGUGCAAGUCUGAAGUGAAAGCCCAGGGCUCAACCCUGGGACUGCUUUGGAAACUGGGGAGCUAGAGUGCUGGAGAGGUAAGUGGAAUGCCUGGGGUAGCGGUGAAAUGCGUAGAUAUUAGGAGGAACACCAGUGGCGAAGGCGGCUUACUGGACAGUAACUGACGUUGAGGCUCGAAAGCGUGGGGAGCAAACAGGAUUAGAUACCCUUGUAGUC
rnacentral:rRNA from 1 species